UACGAAGGGGGGCUAGCGUUGCUCGGAAUCACUGGGCGUAAAGGGUGCGUAGGCGGGGUCUUUUAAGUCAGGGGUGAAAUCCUGGAGCUCAACUCCAGAACUGCCUUUGAUACUGAAGAAUCUUGAGUUCGGGAGAGGUGAGUGGAACUGCGAGUGUAGAGGUGAAAUUCGUAGAUAUUCGGAGGAACACCAGUGGCGAAGGCGGCUCACUGGACCGGUACGUGACGCUGAGGCGCGAAAGCUAGGGGAGCAAACGGG
rnacentral:rRNA from 1 species